CUACAAAGGAAUUGACGGGGAGCACCACAACGGGUGGAGCCUGUCGGUUUAAUUGGACUCAACGCCGGGCAGCUCACCGGAUAAGACAGCUGGAUGAUAGCCGGGCUGAAGACUCUGCUUGACUAGCUGAGAGGAGGUGCAUGGCCGUCGUCAGUUCGUACUGUGAAGCAUCCUGUUAAGUCAGGCAACGAGCGAGACCCACGCCCACAGUUGCCAGCGUACUCUCCGGAGUGACGGGUACACUGUGGGGACCGCCGCUGCUAAAGCGGAGGAAGGAAUGGGCAACGGUAGGUCAGUAUGCCCCGAAUAUCCCGGGCUACACGCGAGCUACAAUGGUUGGUACAAUGGGUAUCUACCCCGAAAGGGGACGGGAAUCUCCUAAAACCAAUCUUAGUUCGGAUUGAGGGCUGCAGCUCGCCCUCAUGAAGCUGGAAUCCGUAGUAAUCGCGUUUCAACAGAACGCGGUGAAUACGUCCCUGCUCCUU
rnacentral:rRNA from 1 species